rnacentral:rRNA from 1 species
UGGGGGAUAUUGCACAAUGGGCGAAAGCCUGAUGCAGCGACGCCGCGUGGGGGAUGAAGGCCUUCGGGUUGUAAACUUCCUUUGCUCUGAACAAGGCGCACCAUGGGGUGUGUUGAGUGUAGGGGUUGAUUAGCGCCGGCUAACUACGUGCCAGCAGCCGCGGUAAUACGUAGGGCGCGGGCGUUGUCCGGAAUUAUUGGGCGUAAAGGGCUUGUAGGUGGCUGGUUGCGUCUGUCGUGAAAGCUCAUGGCUUAACUGUGGGUUUGCGGUGGGUACGGGCUGGCUUGAGUGCAGUAGGGGAGGCUGGAAUUCCUGGUGUAGCGGUGGAAUGCGCAGAUAUCAGGAGGAAUACCGGUGGCGAAGGCGGGUCUCUGGGCUGUUACUGACACUGAGGAGCGAAAGCAUGGGGAGCGAACAGG